AUACGGAGGGUGCAAGCGUUAAUCGGACUUACUGGGCGUAAAGGGCGCGUAGGCGGUCUAUCAAGUCAGGUGUGAAAUCCCACGGCUCAACCGUGGAGGUGCAUCUGAAACUGAUAGACUUGAGUAUGGGAGAGGAAAGUGGAAUUCCCGGUGUAGAGGUGAAAUUCGUAGAUAUCGGGAGGAACACCAGUGGCGAAGGCGACUUUCUGGACCAAUACUGACGCUGAGGCGCGAAAGCGUGGGGAGCAAACAGGAUUAGAAACCCCAGUAGUCC
rnacentral:rRNA from 1 species